ACCUAUAAGUGAAAAGUGUGAAUAUUUUGGUAACUUGAAAUUUUCUAGCGUUUAAUUGAUUUUUGUUUAACUUCACAAUAAAUUAAUUUGACAAAACUCAGUUUAACGCCUCAUCUCGAAAGUAAAACGACAUGACACGCCCACAUGUAGCAUAGAGGACGUGCCAAGACACGUUUAACGUUCGCUCCUGUCCUGCAGCCAACAUUGAACGCAUGAAUCUUUCAUGGAGUCUACAUGCUGGAUAACACUUCACAAAACACAUGGUGUUGCAGAGUCAAAUGUGCAUGAGGACCUCAAAAUGCACAGCAUGAAGAUCUAUGCUUGUUGUGAGCCAGACACAGUAGGCAUCGUCAUCGAGGGAAUCAAAGUUCACAUGGAUCCAACUCAGUGUCACUGUAUAUGUUUACACAGUUAAAUAAAUGUUGGAAAUGUAUA